rnacentral:rRNA from 1 species
AUUGAACGCUGGCGGCAUGCCUUACACAUGCAAGUCGAACGGCAGCACGGGGCAACCUGGUGGCGAGUGGCGAACGGGUGAGUAAUGCAUCGGAACGUACCUUUCAGUGGGGGAUAACGUAGCGAAAGUUACGCUAAUACCGCAUAUUCUGUGUGCAGGAAAGCAGGGGAUCGCAAGACCUUGCGCUGAUUGAGCGGCCGAUGUCAGAUUAGCUAGUUGGUGAGGUAAAGGCUCACCAAGGCGACGAUCUGUAGCGGGUCUGAGAGGAUGAUCCGCCACACUGGAACUGAGACACGGUCCAGACUCCUACGGGAGGCAGCAGUGGGGAAUUUUGGACAAUGGGGGCAACCCUGAUCCAGCCAUGCCGCGUGAGUGAAGAAGGCCUUCGGGUUGUAGAGCUCUUUCGGCCGGGAAGAAAUCGCACGGGCUAAUACCCUGUGUGGAUGACGGUACCGGAAUAAGAAGCACCGGCUAACUACGUGCCAGCAGCCGCCGUAA